rnacentral:rRNA from 1 species
GAUGAACGCUAGCGGCAGGCUUAACACAUGCAAGUCGAGGGGCAGCAUGACACGGAGAUUCGUCGAAGUGUUGAUGGCGACCGGCGCAAGGGUGCGUAACGCGUGAGCAACUUGCCCGUUUCUGGGGAAUAACCGGUGGAAACGCCGACUAAUACCCCAUAGUAUAACGAAGAGGCAUCUUUUUGUUAUUAAAGAAAUUCGGAAACGGAUAGGCUCGCGUGACAUUAGCUAGAUGGCGGGGUAACGGCCCACCAUGGCUACGAUGUCUAGGGGUUCUGAGAGGAAGGUCCCCCACACUGGAACUGAGACACGGUCCAGACUCCUACGGGAGGCAGCAGUGAGGAAUAUUGGUCAAUGGUCUGACGACUGAACCAGCCAUGCCGCGUGAAGGUCACGGCCCUAUGGGUCUUAAACUGCUUUUGAUGGGAGCAAUAAGUUCUACGUGUAGGAUGAUGAGAGUACCAUACGAUAAGCAUCGGCUAACUCCGUGCCAG